rnacentral:rRNA from 1 species
AUUGAACGCUGGCGGAAUGCUUUACACAUGCAAGUCGAGCGGCAGCACGGGGGCAACCCUGGUGGCGAGCGGCGAACGGGUGAGUAAUACAUCGGAACAUGCCCAGUCGUGGGGGAUAACACUUCGAAAGAAGUGCUAAUACCGCAUACGUCCUGAGGGAGAAAGCGGGGGAUCGCAAGACCUCGCGCGAUUGGAGUGGCCGAUGUCAGAUUAGCUAGUUGGUGGGGUAAAGGCCUACCAAGGCAACGAUCUGUAGCUGGUCUGAGAGGAUGAUCAGCCAAGCGUGAGGGGGACGCAGGCCACACACCACCAGGGGAGGCGGAGUGGGGGAUUUUGGAAAAAAGGGGACAACCCGAACCCGCCAUUCCCGGGGGGGGAAAGAGCCCUUCGGGGUUGAAAAGCUUUCCGGGAGGAAAAAAAGGGGAGGCUUCAAACAGAGCUUGCAAAGGAGGGUACUAGAAAAAAAAGCCCCGGCAAACACGGGC